CCUCCAAUCCCCUCAUCUCAUCUUCCAAAAACAAACCGAGUCUGCAGUUGCAAUUCCUAUACGACCUCGAUCCCCCUCUUCCCCCAACAAGUCGAAUCCGCCCGCGUUGAGGAAGGAUGUGCUCCCAAGCCCCCAAAUCCCUAGACCUAGACCUCGACCUCGACCCCUCCCCAGUCCCCAGAUCCCUAGACCUCGACCCCGAAUCCCAACCCUGCCCCGGCGUGACGACGACGGCCGAGCUCCCCGACGAAGCGGAGAACCCCUGCUUGUCGCGGUUUCGCCACCGGCGACUCCUCGCCUUCCUCUCGCGCCAGCGCUACGAUGUCGCCUUCAACGGGCUGAUGCUACAGGCGAGUGAGCCCUUCUGCUUGGAGCGUCUGCAGGGGCUCGUGAGGAAGGGCCUGUGGGAGGAUGCCAUCGACUACCUUGAUGGCUUCCUGCCUGCCGGCCCCAGGAGCCUCCACGCCCACGCCUUCCGCAACUUCCUCUUGAUGCACCACUACUUGGCCAGCAUCGCCGCCGGGGAUGAGUCCGCCAUGGACAAGCUCCGGGCCCACCAUUGGAUGCAACACGUCGUUGAUGCCUGGAAAACGAAAGCGAACCACACAUUUCCUCGUGUCAUGGCCCAAGCCCUGCUCUCGUCGGAGCAGCUCCGGGCGUCCAUGGACUGGGAUGGAGUGAGGAGGGAGGCUGCGUACAUCCUCUCCAGGUUAGCUUCGAGGACCCCAGAGCUCAACAGGCCGCUCACAUUGCCGACUUGCUACACCAAGCCGCACCAAGUGCUUCCCAUUGACGUUGCCUCUGGAUGAAAGCUUACGAGCUGGUUCAGGUAAAGCGACUUCCCUGCUCCAACAAAUUAUGAAGGAAGGUGCUCCUGUUGCUCCAGUUCCGCUGACAAGUCCUGCUAAAAGUUCUGGUACCUCGUCAUUGACAAAUGCAGUCCUUGCAGGUGCUCCUGUUUCUUCAGUGUGCCAGACUCUGAACAUGACAAGAGACGCUGAAAACUAUGGUAUCUCAUCAGUGACAAGUCCAGGUAGAUUAAUUGAACCCCUCAAAUCAUUUUGAUACCAAGAAGAAAUUCUAUCGGCUUGAUCUGUCCCUAUUAUCUUAAUUGGGAAGAACACCAAAUAGUAUAGGCCCAGAAAAGAGUCAAGAAGGUGCCUGCGGUGGUUUCAAUCCCAGAAAGAAUCCACGGGCAGAAUUGGCAACUAUUGAUGAAUAUUUGGAUUCAAAAAGGCAACGUACUACUGGGACUUUUGGGGAAGCAAGUAUGGUGCCGGUGAAUGAAGUUUGGGCUGAAGCUCACUAGCUGGCUGGUGAAGUCAACCACCUAGGUUCAUAACCGAGAUAUGGUGACAAUGGUGGUGGUGGUGUACCUGCUAACUCGCACUUUGUUUAUGCUUUGAACUUGGAUGUUAAUUAUACAACUCUGUUUCCAAGUGCCUACUAUGAGCUAGUACUUCAUAAAGUAAUUGUGCUGUUAAUUAUGCAAAUAUGUUUCUAAGUGCCUACUAUGAGCUAGUACUUCAUGAAGUAAUUCUGCUAGUGUUGGUUAA